rfam:TPA: Bos taurus chromosome 22, whole genome shotgun sequence.
UCCCUGGUGGUCCAGUGGUUACGACUCUGCACUUCCAUCGCAGAGGGUGCAGGUUCCAUCCCUGGUCAGGGAA